CCAUAAAGUGCAGCCAUGUCUUCGGACGCUGAGAUGGCCAUCUUUGGGGAGGCGGCUCCUUACCUCCGAAAGUCAGAGAAGGAGAGAAUUGAGGCCCAGAACAAACCUUUCGAUGCCAAGUCAUCUGUCUUCGUGGUACAUGCAAAGGAAUCCUUUGUGAAAGGGACAAUCACGGGCAGGGAAUCAGGAAAAGUCACUGUCAAGACUGAGGGGGGAGAGACCCUGACCGUGAAAGAAGAUCAAAUCUUCUCCAUGAAUCCUCCCAAGUAUGACAAAAUCGAGGACAUGGCCAUGAUGACCCACCUGCACGAACCCGCUGUGCUGUACAACCUCAAAGAGCGUUACGCAGCCUGGAUGAUCUACACCUACUCGGGUCUCUUCUGCGUCACUGUCAACCCCUACAAGUGGCUGCCGGUGUACAACCCCGAGGUGGUGUUGGCCUACCGAGGCAAGAAGCGCCAGGAGGCCCCUCCACACAUCUUCUCCAUCUCUGACAACGCCUAUCAGUUCAUGCUGACUGGUGAGUGGCUCUGUCUGCCUCAGGGGCAUUGGAUCAAUAAAUUCUCUGAAGGGAUACUCUAUCUCAGCAAAGUAAAGAGACUUUUUCAAAGCUUUCUUGGAUCUGGCACACACAUCUCUUGGAGCAAAACAUUAAACUUACACCCACUGCUGGAGGCCUUUGGAAAUGCCAAGACCGUGAGGAAUGACAACUCCUCACGCUUUGGCAAAUUCAUCAGAAUCCACUUUGGUGCCACAGGCAAGCUGGCUUCUGCUGACAUUGAAACAUAUCUGCUGGAGAAGUCCAGAGUCACUUUCCAGCUCAAGGCGGAAAGGAGCUACCACAUCUUUUAUCAGAUCAUGUCCAACAAGAAGCCAGAGCUAAUUGACAUGCUCCUCAUUACCACCAACCCAUAUGACUACCAAUUUGUGAGUCAAGGUGAGAUCACAGUUCCCAGCAUUAACGACCAGGAGGAGCUGAUGGCUACAGAUAGUGCCAUUGAAAUCCUGGGUUUCACUGCUGAUGAGAGAUUAGCCAUCUACAAGCUGACAGGGGCUGUCAUGCACUACGGGAACCUGAAGUUCAAGCAGAAACAACGAGAGGAGCAGGCAGAGCCUGAAGGCACCGAAGUUGCUGACAAGGCUGCCUACCUGAUGGGUCUGAACUCAGCAGACCUGCUCAAGGCCCUCUGCUACCCCCGAGUCAAGGUGGGGAAUGAAUACGUGACCAAGGGCCAAACUGUGCAGCAGGAGAAAAAUGACCUGCAGCUCCAAGUGCAGGCUGUGAGUUUAUCACUAUUCAUUUCCUACUCAGAAAAAGCACCUACUCAGUCUGACUGCUCUGUUUCGGGCAGAAGGUCAGGUGAAUAUUCACGUCAGGUGGAAGAGAAGGAUGCUUUGGUUUCUCAGCUGUCAAGAGGCAAACAGGCUUUCACCCAACAGAUUGAGGAACUCAAGAGGCAGCUUGAGGAAGAGAUAAAGGCCAAGAGUACCCUGGCCCAUGCCCUGCAGUCCGCUCGCCACGACUGUGACUUGCUCCGGGAACAAUAUGAGGAGGAGCAGGAGGCCAAGGGGGAGCUGCAGCGAGCCCUGUCCAAGGCCAACAGCGAAGUGGCUCAGUGGAGAACCAAAUACGAGACGGACGCGAUUCAGCGCACGGAGGAGCUCGAGGAGGCCAAGUAUGUGGAGGGAAAGUUAGGAAGGGUAGCAGAGAUUACGACCAGAAAUUCUUGGAGAUCACAGUGACAUUAUUGGGAAGAAGUCAGUGUUCUUCUUGGGGUUGGGGUGAAAGGAAAGUAGGAAAAAAAUUCUGUAAUGCAUGUUGUGUAAGAAUCACAGGAAAAAAUCACAGGCAAACAUGUAGAAGACAGGGACUGGUAGAGAGACAGGGAAAAGCCUAUCAACCACAUGCCACGGCUUUCCCUUUUCUCUUAAACCAUGAGAUAUGUUUAACACAGGAAGAAGCUGGCCCAGCGCCUGCAAGAUGCAGAGGAACAAGGAGAAAGUGAAGAAGCAGGUUGAGCAGGAGAAAUCUGAACUGCAAGCCUCCCUGGAGGAAGCUGAGGCCUCCCUGGAACAUGAGGAGGGGAAGAUCCUGCGCCUGCAGCUUGAGCUCAACCAAGUGAAGGCUGAGAUUGACAGGAAGGUAGCUGAGAAAGAUGAGGAGAUUGAUCAGAUGAAGAGAAACCACCUCAGAAUUGUGGAGUCCAUGCAGAGCACCCUGGAUGCUGAGAUCAGGAGCAGGAAUGAAGCCCUGAGGCUGAAGAAGAAGAUGGAGGGAGACCUGAAUGAAAUGGAGAUCCAGCUGAGCCAUGCCAAUCGUGUGGCUGCCGAGGCACAGAAGAACCUAAGAAAUACCCAGGCUGUGCUCAAGGACACCCAGAUCCAUCUAGAUGAUGCUCUGAGGACACAGGAUGACCUGAAGGAGCAGGUGGCCAUGGUGGAGCGCAGAGCAAACCUGCUGCAGGCUGAAGUUGAGGAGCUCCGGGCAGCUCUGGAGCAGACGGAGCGGUCGAGGAAAAUGGCUGAGCAGGAGCUUCUGGAUGCAAGUGAGAGAGUUCAGCUCCUCCACACUCAGAACACCAGCCUGAUCAACACCAAGAAGAAGCUGGAAACGGACAUUGCCCAGAUCCAGGGUGAAAUGGAAGAUACCAUCCAGGAAGCCCGCAAUGCUGAGGAGAAGGCCAAGAAGGCCAUCACAGAUGCGGCCAUGAUGGCAGAGGAGCUGAAGAAGGAGCAGGACACCAGUGCCCACCUGGAGAGGAUGAAGAAGAACCUGGACCAGACUGUGAAGGACCUGCAGCACCGUCUGGAAGAGGCUGAGCAGCUGGCACUGAAGGGAGGGAAGAAGCAGAUCCAGAAGCUGGAGGCCAGGGUGCGGGAGCUGGAAGGGGAGGUUGAUGCUGAGCAGAAGCGCAGCGCUGAAGCCGUGAAGGGUGUGCGCAAGUACGAGCGGAGGGUGAAGGAGCUCACCUACCAGUCUGAGGAGGACAGGAAGAAUGUCCUGAGGCUGCAGGAUCUGGUGGACAAGCUGCAAAUGAAAGUGAAAUCCUACAAGAGACAAUCUGAGGAAGCUGAGGAGCUGUCUAAUGUCAACCUCUCCAAGUUCCGCAAGAUCCAGCACGAGCUGGAGCAAGCUGAGGAGCGGGCUGACAUUGCAGAGUCACAGGUCAACAAGCUCCGAGUGAAGAGCCGCGAGUUUCACAGCAAGAAAAUAGCAGAGGAAGAGUGAGAGUGUCAUGAGACA